rfam:Lupinus angustifolius cultivar Tanjil contig_32009, whole genome shotgun sequence.
AUGCCAUGAUGAGGGCAAGCUUUAGUUAAAUCAUUUAAUCUUUCCCAAGCUUCAGCAAUUGAAUCCCUAUCCUUUUGACUAAAGUUUUGAAUGAGGUGCCU